UCUUCCUCUUUCUUUCUCGGGCUUUACCCCCAACCCCCCUUCUGCUCUGUAUUAACCCCAUAAUUACCAGACAAUUCUGCAUAUUGUCAAAAGCAAGAAUAUACAAUAUUUGCAGCAUUGAUACCAGGCUCAAGUGUGCGGUGAGCACUGCCAGGAUUUUGGCAAACACCCUUGGAGCUGGUGAAAGGCCGAACGGCAGGGCUUUGUACUGGAAAUGAUGGCCCAUAUAACAGAACCUGAGAAAGUGCUGUUGGUUGGGGAGGGUGGAGAUGUAGAGAUACGUUUCCGUGAGGUCUAUGGACGUCAGGAAGUCUCCCUUCCUUACGCUGCCCAAGAUGGACUGGAGCGUUUGCAUCUUGAAUUUCCUGUAUGCAAUAUGUGAAUUCAGACCUUUGAGGUCGAGAAUCGCCCUCCAUCCUCCCGAGGCCUUGGGAACCACAAACAGCUGACCACCCUGAUAAGGGGCCAUAGCCAAACACCACUUAGAUUUGGCGUCAGCCUGCCAAUGCUUGAGCUACAGUAGUCGUUGUGCUGUAACAUUGGAGACUAUGGUCCUGGAAGAAAAUCUGGCUGCAUGCAGUGAUACAUCAAAGACGUACUCUGAUGCUGCAACUAAUUUGCUCAGUCCUUGGUGGAUGCGUACCUCCUUCUGAGGGAUCCUGGAUUGGAGUUGACAGAGCCAGAGGAGAGAGGUCCUGGCAAAGAAAGAUGUGCAAGUGGCUGCUCUUACCGCCCACGCUGCCUGGUGAGUUCUGCCGAAGGUCAAUUCCCAUCUCUUGUCUUCAGCCUUCAAUGCCUCGGCCAGAUCCCCUGACACCGCAGAUGAAGUCAAGAGAGGGGUCAAGGGUUCAUCCACUGUUGGCACCUCAAGAGCGUCAGCCAAGUCUGGUACUGCGCUGAACAGUUUCCUGUCCGUUCCUCCCAGGGAAGGGAAGGUGCCAGGUGAAGCCCAUUGCUUCCAAAUGGCGUUCAAGAAUAGAGGUGGAAAGGGAACAUGGUGCUGAGUCACAACGGGCUCAGAAAACACCGGAUUUGGAUCUGAACUGGUUGGUGGACCUGGCUGAGGAAUGCAAUCAGGACCUAUGUUAGUGGUAAUGCUAGCAUUGCAAAGCAGUGGUAAGAAGGCCGGGUUAAAGAGACCCCCAAAUGGCGGGGGGUUGGGUCUUCCUCCUUCGACCACGGAAUGUCAGUUUGGUCGUGCUCCGCAGGAGAUGAGGCCCUACUAUGAGAGGAUCGGGGUGGUGAGGGAGAACCAUGGUACUCGGGUACUUCCGACUGGAGAAGAUAUGAUGGGGGCAUGGAUGCAACCGACUUGGGUCUAGACAUAUGAUAAGACCUGGUGGCAAAAGCCUGGCCUGAUCAACUGCCUUUGAGAUUAGAGCUUGAAGGUGUUCAAUGGAAAGAGCUCCUGGAGGCUCAGCUAUCCUGAGCCCAGCAGCUGUUGGAGUGAUAAUGGUCUCUGGGCCCGACUGUGGGGCCCAUGGCGCCGAUGAUGCCUGGCAGAUGUUUGGAUCGUGAUCCUCCCCAGAAGAGGGGUGGUGUGUGGGAAUCCCCUCCAAGGACCAGGCUCCCUGAACAGAGGUGGAGGGCCCCAGGGGGAGGUCAAAGACCAAGGCCUCUGUCUGCUCUGUCUCUGCCCUGGCCUGCCUCUGCGCUUUGGAAAAUUCCCUCUCCAAAGCCUGGUGCCUCCUGCUAGCCUGCUUUUCCACCAGUUUGGAAGGUUUCCUUCCCAAAAUGGUUUUCGCCUUGGCCUUGAUCUUGCCAGCUGCCUCCUGUUUAGAGGACUUAUGCCUAUUUUGACUAACGGAUGAAGAGGCAGUGUCUUGAGGUUGGGGCACCAUAGUAUCCUCCAUCAUAAGGUGAGAUAUCUCAGGUAGUGCUGAGAGGGAACUCGGGCCUAUGGAGCCAAGUACAAAUUAUGACAGUGGAUCACCUGGCGGAUUAGAUUAGUACACAUGGAACAGACAGAGGCUUGAUCCACCCUGCUCCCCUGGCUACCUGACUGGUGGUUGCCCAUUACAGGUCCGGUCGUGUCUACAGCCACGGCAAAAUCGCGUAUGUGAUGACAGCCAGUUUGCUCGUAGAGCGCUCAGUGGUGACAAGGCCAAAGGUUGGUGUCAGCACAUUUGUGCGGCGGUUGAAUCUGCGGAGGUGGCAAAAUCACAUGCGUGAUGACAGCCAGCACACACGCAGCCUGCUGAAUGAUGGCCAGGUGAGGAGAUGAGGCACCAGUUGAGGCCUGUGUUUUAUAAUCUGUAGGCCUAUUGGCUGAUGUGCUUGGGUAAAACACCCAGUGUCCUAUCAUGUUUAUGAGAAGCCUCUCUUAACAGGUAUUUGUAUUUUUUGUCUUAGGAGAGAAGCCUCUGUCACUAUAAGGGAUGAACACUCAACAUUUGGAGUGGAAGACAAGUGUUUGGCCACUAGGCCCUAUUUCUUCGGGGAGAGAUCGGCUCCUGGUUAUGCAGACAGUCCAAAACGGUGGCCGCUGCCACCACCACUCCCGCUAGACCGGGACUGGAGAGAAACGGGACAGAAGAAUGAUCUAGAUGCAAUCCAGAUGGUCGCCCGUCUAUUGCCAGGUACCAUUUAAAACAUGCAAGUCAGUAAACAUUCUAUGCUGCUAAUUAGAGGAGUCAGAUUUACUUCACAAGACACUGGACAUAAGGUAAUCAAAGAGAGUUUAGUGAGAAUACAGUUAUUUUUAAUAAUUCAAAUAGCAAUUUAUUAUGUCUAUUAUACAUUGUUGCACAACUUGAGGCUGGUUAAAUACAAUUCAUUUUCAAAAUUUCUUGGGAUAGUUUCUAGAUUGCAACAUGCAAGUGUCCAUGAAAAUAUUUGGCUUUUUUCUUUUGAAAUUCUGAAUAGGCACUUACAUGAGGGAAUCAAGCUCUCUCUAUCACAGGCUUUAAGAAUAAGAGAAAUGUCCCAGCACGCAGAGUAUUCUUGGCUUUAUCAAGGUGCCACAGUAAUAAAACAAUUCUUUUCUAAAUAUAAUUUAGUAAUUUUGCUUACUUCACACAGUAAGAUAACCAACAAUACUUGCACUGAAGUUUAGAAACGUUUUUGAUAAAUAGGCCAAGUGAAUUGUAAAUGUGAGUAGCCUUCUAUUCAACAUAGGGUGCUAGACAGGCAGUGUGGUUCUGAAAAUUAGUUAAUUGUGGACAAAUGGAGGCUAACAAGAUUUGCCCAGAGAUACUAUAUUCCAGAAUGAAUUAUAAAAAAUAAAUCAAUCUUUUGCUGCACAAGAAUACCAUUUUCGGAAAAGCUAAUGUUUUUUCCUCUAUAUAUUUUUGUACAAGCCCACAUUUCAUCACAGAAGCUCAGCAUGGAAAAGGAAUAUGAUAUUCUACAUUUGGGGUGGACAGUGAAAAGUAUGUAUUUGAUGCAAAAAUAAAAUUUUGUGCAAAUGAUCCAGUAUUCAAGAGUGUAAAUUAGUAAAAAUUAUCUUAAAACGUUUUAUCAUAUACAUGCACCCUUAACCAAACUGGGGUUUAAUGAGAGAAUUCUGUAUUUUAGCCCAGUUCAUAUAAAUCUUGAAGUGAAUUGGAAUCUGAUCAUAGAGUCAUUGGAAUGAGUAUGCUAAGGGGAAGAAAAAAGAAUGCAGCCACUUGUCUUGAAAAGCUAAUUCUGAAAGAAGUUUGUUUGUACACAUUCCUCAAAAAAUUCUGAAAACGGUAAUAUGCUCUCAGAUCUAUUCCAAAUACAUUGUAUUUUAUAUAUAUUAUCUACUUCCCUGGGGUAAAGACAACAGUAUCAUUAUAAAACCUGAAUUUGUCAUUUUAAGACAAUUUUUUUUAUUAAGUCUCCAAUGUUACAGACAGCAGACAUUGAGGAAAUAUGUAUGAUAUGUAGUUGGAUAUAGAAAGAGGAAAUGCUUUAGUUUACCAUCAAUGAAAGCAAAAUUUAGAUGCACCAUACUACAUGCAUGGAAACACAUAACUAGACUUCUUUAAGCUUUAUGCAGCUCUGACUGCAUCACACCAGAUAAAAA